UACGUAGGGUGCGAGCGUUAAUCGGAAUUACUGGGCGUAAAGCGUGCGCAGGCGGUUCUAUAAGUCAGCUGUGAAAUCCCCGGGCUCAACCUGGGAAUGGCAUUUGUGACUGUAGAGCUAGAGUACGGUAGAGGGGGAUGGAAUUCCGCGUGUAGCAGUGAAAUGCGUAGAUAUGCGGAGGAACACCGAUGGCGAAGGCAAUCCCCUGGACCUGUACUGACGCUCAUGCACGAAAGCGUGGGGAGCAAACAGG
rnacentral:rRNA from 1 species